rnacentral:lncRNA from 10 species
AUUUUACAGAUGACACACUAAGGCGCAAGGCAGCUGCACAUCCACGGCCAGCCUCGUUGUCUUCAGGGAUUUGUUCAAAGUUCAUUCUGAAUUGUAAGGUAACCACUGCAGAACACGAGCCUUUCCUGGGUAUGUGUGGUUAUUUCUGCCCUUCACGGUCCCACUCAAGUCCUGCCUCCCUCAGGGAGACCUCCCAGACCUCACCAAGCCGUGGGCACGUGGACCAGAAGCCGUGGACCCCAGAGGCUCAUUUAGGGAUCUGCUUUCUGAACCCAGGUCCUAACAUCUGCACUGCAGCGAGCAUUUCUGGUGCCUCAACUCACUGAGAGGCGAUGGAGCACUGAGUGCCAGCAUCUUCCAGCACCAGAGGAGCUGACUCUGAAUAGACAGCUCGGCAGCGGCCUCAGCACAGAGCAGGGGAGCCACCAGCCACAGGCAGCCACUGAGCCCUUGGCAUGUAACCCGGUAACCCAUGCAACAGAAGACCUGAGCGUCCAGUGUUGCUAGCUUGAAGUAACUUCAGUGGUGUUCCCCAGCGUUUUUCUCAUCCCCCUCCCUUCCCUUCCCCUACAGCUUUCUUCCUCUUUCCCCUCCUUCUGAGUCUUUCGUCCCCAGUCCUGGGAACCUUUUUUCUGACUUGGUGUUUUCUCCUGAAUGCCUCCUUCCUGGCCCCCUAAUCAGAAAUGCAGAAGCCACCUGCCCCACACAGGGGGCCACUUUCCCUGCAUCUGGCACUCACCAGGACAGUCAUAGAACUGGCCUUGGGUGCUUGGGGAGAGUGGAGAGGUCUGGGGGGCAUCCACUGGCCUCAGCCUCAGAGCUUCUCAUCAGUAACCCAGGAGGCAAAGGCCCAGCUCAAGAUUAGCCCAGGCCACUGUAUCUGUGCCAAGACCUACAGCUGUCCCUGCAGGGCGUGCAUCUCUGCAGCCCAGGCUAUCACAAUGGUGUCCCUUUUGGUGGGGAUGUGAGGCCUGCUGCUGCCUGGGAAGAAGCUGACAGGAUUGUUGGUGCUGUGGGGAGAAGCUGGUGUAACUGAGACCCAUGAGGGAGGCCCUUUGUGGGUCUGUGGCUGGGAGGAGCUCUGGGGAAGAUGGGCCUUGAGAAAUCCCAGCUUAGCACCUUUGACAGUUGCUCCACUGAGUCACCCUAGACUGCAAUCUCACAGAUGUUCUAACCACCCUCUCCCUGGGGAGCCCUUGGGGGUGCUGCAAGCCCAGUCCUCACUCACUGGCUUUGUGCUUCUCUUCCCGACUUCCUUUUUUUGCUCCUGUUGAGAAAUGUGGGUCCAGGGCUGCGUGCUCCAGUGUGCGGAAGGAAGGGCAGCGUGCUCUUUGGACUGAGCUGGCUCAAGGGAAGCUGGGUCUGAGGGGAGACUGACCUCGACCCUUCUUAAAUGAAACACCUUUUCCCUGCGUCUCAGUCACCGUUACCUGGCCUGAUCACUGUGUGCCACACCCCAUCACAUCCAUCCCCACAAGAAUGCCAGGAGGAGGGGUCAUUGGCCUUUUUGUCAGCACAAACCUCUGGAGGCCCAGCUCCCAAGACCCGCCAGGCACACCUGCCAGAGUGCCUUAACUUGGGAUGUCUGCAAACCUCUGUCCAUGGCCGAACCCACCCCACUGCCUGUUACUGUAAAUAAAGGUCUAUUAGCAUGCCACCAUGCCCCUCCUCCGAUGCAUACAGUGCCCAGCUCAGCACCUGGUGCAAGUAAGCACAAUCUGGCUUCCAGCCAUCACUGCUGUUGCUACUAACACAAAUAUUAGGCCCCUUCUAGAAUGCAAAGAUAACCCAGGGCUGCUCGUUCUGUGUCCAGAUCACAGAGUUUUUCUUUUUAUCCUUAUCAACUUUAUUGAGGGAUAAUUUACAGGCAAUAAAUCAUAUCCAUUUAAAGUUAUUGUCAAGCUUUUAAAGAAUUAAAGUUCGUCUUCUUCAGAAGCUUACCGAGGACUACAGGCUGUGGCGUAGAGCCCUGGAGCAGCCUCCACUGAGGUUCUGUAUUUCAGGUCACAGUUGACAUAUAGGUGGGAGGUCCAGUACGUGCAAAGUCACAUGAAAGCUUGGGUGUCAGAGUGCAUCAGGUUAUGGAUUCAAUUACAGAGCAAUAAUCACUGACCCUGUCAGAUGUUAUCUUACGUGUAGGAAAAGGUAAGACCAGGGCCAUUUAUCUGCAAAGAAUAUAGUGACUCAGGCAAGAGUCCGGAGAGGGUGUGUGCUCCAUCCUGUUUUGUCUUCAGAGCAUCUUUCUGGGGAGCUGCACAUCGUUAUAGAGACAGGCACUUUGUGAAAUUCUGCUGCCAAGCACAAAUGAGCAAACGUGGUUUCCUAUGUUUACUACUUUGUCUCACAAAGCGCACAUUCACAGUGCAUUAUUAAGGGGCCCUGGCAGCACCGCCACAGUGUAUCUCUGCUCCCUCUUAAAGUUCCCCGUGCCCCUUGGCAGACAGGCCCCUCUCACUCCUGGGCCCAGGCUACCAUUGACCAGCUUUUUGCCACUAGAGGUUAAUUUUCAUUCUAUGUGAUUGGAAUCAUACAGAUGUUCUUGUAUCUGACUUAUUUCACUCCACAUAGUGAUUCUGAGAUUCAAAUGUUGUGUGUAUCAGUUGUUUGUUCCUUUUUAUUCCUGAAUGGGAGAGGGGAUGUCAAGCUGCACAGUUUUAUUCCUGGGCUACAGUGGAGAUGGAUGGUUCUACCGUCUCUCUGAAACACCAUCUGCAGUUUCUUCAAAAUCUACCUACACAUCUUCCAUCCCAUCCUGAGGAGUCCCCGAGGGUUGAGAAAUGCAUGACCCCACACCUGGCUGACGUGUACAACUGGCGGAGUUAGUUUUUCCUGUUGACACUGGCCACGGGCGCCUCAGCAUGCACAGCCCUGGCCUUGCUCCUCUAGGCAUGCUGGGGGCUUGUCCACACGUGUGGUCUACGGAUGGAGGAGAGUGGCCUCUGGCCCAUGCGUGCCAUGCACUGGACCUUCCCAGGGAAUCAAGUUACAUGAUGUUUCCUUGAGGAGCUACAUACAAAGUAAAAAACUGAAAUCAAGAAUAUCAGUCAUUUCUGAAUAUGCCAAUUCGCCCAUGGUGCAGUUUGUACAGCUUAAUCACUGCAGAACAGUUUUGAGGAUAAAAUUAACCAAAAACCUAAGUAGACAAAAUAUUCAAAUUUUUGGAAUCUGUCACAAAAAUCCACAGAUGACUUAUUUUCCAUUGUAGCUUAUAAUGUCCAAAAGCCUUUCUAGUGACUUAUAACUGAUGGUGAGCUCCCACUCUGUGGCAGCUGUGGGACACUGGUCUAAGGACUACACCCUGAUGCCUGGUGAGUUACAGAGGCCAUGAGAAGAUGUCAGUGAACCUGAAAGCCAGGGAGAGGCUGUGUUCCUGCCGGACUGUGGGGCUCCUUCGCUCCCCUGCUGUGGCCCUUGGUCAGGCCACUUUCCCUCUCUGGGUGUCAGUGGCUUCAUCUACGAAGUGAUAAAAAACUAAUGCAAACCAGAGCAAAAUGAGAUAACACGGGGACCCCUAAUGUCCCAGGGAGAUGGUGAACUGAAGCACCGCGUGCGGUGAGUUGUUGCUGUCUCCACCCCUCAAGGAGACCGCAGCUUUGCAGACGUGUGGGUCCCAUCAUCGGCCCCAUUCUACAUUCCUCCCUGUGUCCCUGCCAUCGCCAGGUGACUUUGCUGGGCCCUCCCACCGCCCUAACUCCCAAUCCCAAGAUCUUCAGUGAACGUGACGCGCACAGCAGAGGCCCAGAAUGUAUGUGUGCAUGUGGUGACAGCUAAGCCUGCCUGGAGCAGAGCCCCAACCCUGCAGCAGCUCAAACAAGCUGAGAUCAGCAAAUGCACAUCUGACUCUCAGACAUGGGGGCAAUAAUAAUAAAUGCUGUUUGAGUUUUGGGGUCUUUGGCUACACAGCAAUUGCUCACCAAUAUGACAGGGUUGUAUGACGUGGCCAUGCGGAACUGUAUUAUAGGGGAAGUGGUGAACAGUGUGAUGAGAUUUUAAAGAGGAACAGAUUUACCACUGACUUUAGAAAUCAUGGAGGAGAAAUCUCUGGGGUUGCCCUUGAAGGGUGUGUGGAGGAGGACAUGGGAGAAGGGGGAAGAACCGUGGCAUCCUGGCUAAACAGACACAGGGCAGAGGGAGCCUCUGUGUUGGGACUAAGAUGGGGAUGUCGGGGAAGGGACAUGGCAAGCUGACUGUUGGUG